rnacentral:rRNA from 1 species
UACGUAGGGUGCGAGCGUUUGUCCGGAAUUAUUGGGCGUAAAGAGCUUGUAGGCGGUUUGUCGCGUCUGCCGUGAAAAUUCGAGGCUCAACCUCGAACUUGCGGUGGGUACGGGCAGACUAGAGUGUGGUAGGGGAGACUGGAAUUCCUGGUGUAGAGGUGAAAUUCGUAGAUAUUCGGAAGAACACCAGUGGCGAAGGCGACUUACUGGACACAUAUUGACGCUGAGGUGCGAAAGCGUGGGGAGCAACAGG